rnacentral:rRNA from 1 species
AUUGAACGCUGGCGGCAGGCCUAACACUUGCAAGUCGAACGCCCCGCAAGGGGAGUGGCAGACGGGUGAGUAACGCGUGGGAACAUACCCUUAUCUUCGGAACAACUCCGGGAAACUGGAGCUAAUACCGAAUGUGCCCUUCGGGGGAAAGAUUUAUCGGAUAAGGAUUGGCCCGCGUUGGAUUAGCUAGUUGGUGGGGUAAAGGCCUACCAAGGCGACGAUCCAUAGCUGGUCUGAGAGGAUGAUCAGCCACAUUGGGACUGAGUCACGGCCCAAACUCCUACGGGAGGCAGCAGUGGGGAAUAUUGGACAAUGGGCGCAAGCCUGAUCCAGCCAUGCCGCGUGAGUGAUGAAGGCCUUAGGGUUGUAAAGCUCUUUCACCGGAGAAGAUAAUGACGGUAUCCGGAGAAGAAGCCCCGGCUAACUUCGUGCCAGCCGCCGCGGUAACAC